GCGUCCAACCCCGUUCGCCGUAUCGACCCCGGCGCUCCGCACGGUGCCCGGCACGCGGUGAGCGCUUCGGAAAUACCGCGGCCGUGAUCAUCAUCGGGUUGAUUAUCGGUGCUAAGGGCUCCCUUCCGGAGUGCGGACCGCCAGGCCCGCGCGUCUAAAACCCGGGGCUGGACAGGCCUGCUCUAGACGCCAGGUUGUGGGCAGGCGGUGCGUCGGUUGGUUGGGGUAUUUUACUCUCCCCAGCGCUGGGCGCGGUGUUCUGCACGCGGUCAGCCCUCGGUAGAGAUGACCGAAGGAAUGAACCGUGGCGCUCUCCCAGGCGCCCACUACACAGAGGCGCUGGGGAGGACCCUUCCCGGAAGGGUCGGGGAAGAUCCCUUCCGGAGGAGCUGGGGAGAAUCCUUUCCGGAGGGGCCGGGGGAGAAUCCGCCCAACCCUCGAGGACCGGCUGUACCUGGGCCGGAGGGGCCUGCUCGGAUGACUGCAGCUCCCCGCGCCGGGCAAGCGACCGGGACCUGGGGGACUUGGUGAGCUUCCUUCUCAGGUGCCGGUACAGGGAGCGCUCGCUGGGCUCGGAGCACCGUAUUAAGCGCUCGGGAGAGUCCAGUCUGACACCGCGACGGACGCGUUCCCGGUCCGCCUCCAACUUGAAGCGAAAGAGAAGGGGAAAGGCGCAGCCUCUGGCCUCGAGGGGAUUACGGUCCGAAGAAUUCCGGUGUCCCCGUCACGCGGUCAGAGACGGAGCCCGGGUCGGGAGGACCGGCAGGGCUAAGCCGAGACCAGCUGGCCGGUGACUCCCGGUGGGCUCCCUUGUCACCGGCUGCAAAUUUAGGCCCGGGCUCCACCGGGCCGGGUGGGGACCAGGACCAGAGAGCCGUUGAUGAUAAUGAUGAUAAUGAUGGCGUUUGUUCGGCGCUUACUAUGUGCCAGGCACUGUUCUAAGCGCUGGGA